rnacentral:rRNA from 1 species
AGSUWKCUUGUUAGAUAUAAAUAGCAAGUAACCCCUGCCCUWUGWNUNGAAUGAUAAAUGGMUGCAUUNUCCNGGGUGUANGAAGGUAGCAUAAUCACYCGGYUMAUAAUUAGGGUCUGGAAUGAAGGGGGCCACGGGGCCUAACUGUCUCAAAAGGGAGUCUUGAAUUUAACUUUAUGGGUGAAGAGGCCCAUMUAAACUCGAAAGACGAGAAGACCCCAAAGAGYUUGUGGUUAAAAAGCUGCAGCAAGAAGUGCGGCAUUACCAUUUUGUUGGGGCGACACAGGGUCAUAAAAAGCNCCCUUGAUGAACAAGAGUAUACAGGAUCCCCCCUAGAGGAAUAUAUGAAUAAAGUUACCUUGGGGAUAACAGSUUUUAUACCCCU